GACGAACGCUGGCGGCGUGCUUAACACAUGCAAGUCGAGCGGUAAGGCCCUUUCGGGGUACGACGAGCGGCGAACGGGUGAGUAACACGUGGGUGACCUGCCCUCAGCUCUGGGAUAAGCCUGGGAAACCGGGUCUAAUACCGGAUAUGACUCCAUGACGCAUGUUGUGGGGUGGAAAGCCUUGUGCGGCUGAGGAUGGGCCCGCGGCCUAUCAGCUUGUUGGUGGGGUGAUGGCCUACCAAGGCGACGACGGGUAGCCGGCCUGAGAGGGCGACCGGCCACACUGGGACUGAGACACGGCCCAGACUCCUACGGGAGGCAGCAGUGGGGAAUCUUGCGCAAUGGGCGAAAGCCUGACGCAGCGACGCCGCGUGAGGGAUGACGGCCUGG
rnacentral:rRNA from 1 species